AGGAAAGUCUAUGACAGCAGCAGCCAUACACACACAUCUCCCCAAGUAACACCUUCAACAGCAAGGGUUUGGAGCAGACAGAGCAGUGAAAUGAAUUUUGUACCAGUGGAUUUUUCGUCCCAACUGUGCUGCUAGUCUCCUCCCUUUCUCUUCCUGGGAUUCUGGGCUGCCACUUGUUAGCAUCUGCACCCCCCACCCAUCUCUCUGAACUUGCCCUUCAUCUGGUUCACUCUCCAAUCACAGCUGGCCAUGCUUCCCCAGCCACAACCCCACCUUGGAGCCUUAGGAGUUGCUGCGCCCUCUGCCUGAACCUCUUUUGUCAAGACACCAAUUUCUCAGCCAGGACUUCCCUGCCCACUAUUUAGAAACACCCCACAUUGCCCAGCAAUGCCCCACUCCCCUGGCAUCUCACACUCUGCCUGCCGGAGCUGCUGAUCUGCCCCUCUGCCAUCAAGCGAGCUCCAUGAAGGCAGGGAUUGUCAGUUAUGUUCACUGCUGUAUCUCCAGCGCCCAGCACAGAGUCCAGCUCAAAUUAGACACUCAAAUGUAUUUUAAGUGACAGUAAGGAAGGUAGUUGAAUUAAUGAAUUGCCUACACCAGGCAAUGUGCUGGGCGGGGGCUGGGCAAACAAACGGGAAAGGAUCUGUGCUCUGGAAUGCCAUCUGAUGGAGGAGGAUGCGAUCCCACAUCCCGAAGAGAUGAUCACACAAUGCCCACUAAGACGCAAGGUGGGCUGCCACAUCAACAUGCCUUAUACCCAGCUGGCCAUGGGAAAGGACUACCGAUCAACCCAGCUGGGAGACUGGGCAGCAGGAGAGCUCCUUCUCAUUCAAAAGGCCAGUGAUUUGAUACCAUCAAGGCCCAGUUACUGAGUCAAGAGCCUCCCUGGUGCAGGCUGUUCCAGGCCCCCGAAUUGCUUCUCCUUUUCUUCCCUCACUUGACUAGAAGUCCUUUCCAUGGACAAGAUUCCAGGUAGUCUCUCUCAUUGGUCUUCCUUGGGGCAAAGGUCAUGGCUCCCAGACUGCUUACCUGGCCCUAGGCAGUCUUAUCUCUCACACUGGCCUUAGUCCAUUCAGCCCACCUCCUCCACCAAAGCCCAGCCUCCCUGCUCCGCCCACCCCAUUACAAAGCUGUUCCCCAGCAGGCAUUUGCCCAAGCUAUGCUGCCUGCUACUCAAGUCUCAAGAGCUUCUCCAGGCCACACACCAUGGUGAAGUCGCAGGGACCCCACAGAAAAAACCCCAUCAACUUGCCUAAGGGCUCAGGGAAGUUGGGCAGGAAGCAAUCAGACCCAGGUUCCUCGAAUAAGCACCCGUGCACAUCAUCAGCAUUGCAUGAACGUCAGCUCGGCAGGGUAAGGUUUGGGCCAGUCUGGGAGAGCUGGUGGUGCCUGACAGGUAGCAAGACCUCAGACCAUGGCAGUGACUCAAGGACUCCACAAGGCUGAAUUAGAUGGUUACAGGGAGGGAGGGAGGGAGACAGGGAUCCCUACUGCAAAGGUCUGAUGUGCACACAUCUGAUAAGCUUCCCCUUUGAGAUUGCUUUCCCUAACCUGGCAAUCACUGGAACCACAUUCCACCAGAGGAAGGCCCUGGGGAUGCCCUAAGGGAUGUGCCUGCUCCACUCCCUUCCCAAGAGCCUAAGUGAUUAGCACCCAGGGGAGGACAGAGAUUUGGGGGAUCUGCAGGAACCAGACCAAGGGUUUGCCAAGCCAAUAAGUGUAAGCUGAGUUCAAGAACCCAGCCCCCUCACACUCCUUUGAGGAGGCAGCCUAUAAAUAAGUCAGUCAAGGAACACUGGCACUCCCUCGGGCAGAGUGAAGUGUCACAUCCAGCAAUCUGUGGGAAAGCAGGGCUGGGGAGAAUAAAUGGGGAAAAGGAACACUGGACGGCAUGCAGGGAUGAGAAGGAUAAAGUCCGCGGCUGAGGAGGGGCCGGCUUCGCGUAGCACAGACGAGGUUCCCCGAAGGCUACUCCCCUGAGACCUCACAGACGCCUGUCGCCCGAAGAGACGCGGCUCCAACAGCAACUACUACCGGGCGUACCAGCCGGCUCGGAGGCCCAGGGGACGAAGCGCUGGGCGUGAAUCCGCACACACCUCCGGCCUCGGCAUGACCUCGGCUGGGAAGGCGCAGGGCCCUGUCCCCAAACCCCGAACCAGGCUGGCCCUCCCUGUUGCCCCUAGGAGAGAAGAGAGAAGCCCGGGAACGAACUCGGUGCAGCCGCCAAGGGCUACGGAGAAACUUCGCGGGAGUACAUCCCCUAAGGCAACACCGUUCCCGAGCUUGCAGGUGCGCGAGGUGCGGAGGUGGGACGCCGGGGCGCGGGAUCCCCAAGGGAGACGCCCUGGCGAACGGGUCUCCUUCCCGGCCCACUAGAUACCCCUUAAAAACAGUUUGCGCCGAAGAGGGAAGCAGCCACCCUCCCCAGUCCUGCCCACCCUCGCACUUGGGUGAAGGCAGAGGGCCCGGAGAGGGCAGCGAGGGCAGCGAGGACAGCAGAGGCACAGCGGCUUCUCCUCCGUGGCCCAGAGCCGGCACGCAGAUGGGAAGACAGAGGCUCAGAGAAGGCUGGGAAUUUGUCCAAAGCUACACAGUGAGGUAUCAGACAAGAAGGAACUGAAGCUCAGGCUCCUACCAGUGGGGGGACUCUCCUUCCUGCUCCACUAGGAGCUUUGCUGAUGGGCUCUCUUGCAGGUAGAUGUCACGACCCCUAAAUCACAGAUGAGGAAACCAAGGCUCAUGAGGGAACCAGAUGACUGACAGCAGCUGGAAUCAUCUGCAAACCAGCAGGA